rnacentral:rRNA from 1 species
CCUACGGGAGUCAGCAGUGAGGAAUAUUGGUCAAUGAGCGGGAGGCUGAACCAGCCAAGUAGCGUGAGGGAAGACGGCCCUACGGGUUGUAAACCUCGUUUGUCAGGGAGCAAGGUGCAGGUAGGGACCUGCUGUAGGAGGACGGGAAGAAGAAGCAUAGGCUAACUCCGUGCCAGCAGACGCGGUACUGCGGAGGAGGCGAGCGUUAUCCGGAUUGAUUGGGUGUAGAGGGUGCGCAGGCGGAGGCACAAGUCAGCGGUAAAAUGGCGGGGCUCAACCCCGCUCCGCCGUUGAAACUGUGUCCCUUGAGUGCGCGAAGGGUAGGCGGAAUGCGUGGUGUAGCGGUGAAAUGCAUAGAUAUCACGCAGAACUCCGAUCGCGAAGGCAGCCUACCGGCGCGCAACUGACGCUCAUGCACGAAAGCGUGGGUAUCGAACAGGAUUAGAUACCCUGGUAGUC